rnacentral:misc_RNA from 1 species
GAGAAGAACGUAGCGAAAUGCGAUAAGUAAUGUGAAUUGCAGAAUUCAGUGAAUCAUCGAAUCUUUGAACGCACAUUGCGCCCGCCAGUAUUCUGGCGGGCAUGCCUGUCCGAGCGUCAUUUCAACCCUCAAGCCCCCGGGCUUGGUGUUGGAGAUCGGCGAGCCCCCCGGGGCGCGCCGUCUCCCAAAUAUAGUGGCGGUCCCGCUGUAGCUUCCUCUGCGUAGUAGCACACCUCGCACUGGGAAACAGCGUGGCCACGCCGUAAAACCCCCCACUUCUGAAAGGUUGACCUCGGAUCAGGUAGGAAUACCCGCUGAACUUAAGCAUAUCAAUAAGCGGAGGA